GGGUUGUGAGGUUAAGCGAACAAGCGUACACGGUGGAUGCCCUGGCAGUCAGAGGCGAUGAAGGACGUGCUAAUCUGCGAAAAGCGCCGGUAAGGUGAUAUGAACCGUUAUAGCCGGCGAUGUCCGAAUGGGGAAACCCAGUGUGAUUCGUCACACUAUCUCAGCAUGAAUACAUAGUGCUGUGAGGCGAACCGGGGGAACUGAAACAUCUAAGUACCCCGAGGAAAAGAAAUCAACCGAGAUUCCCCCAGUAGCGGCGAGCGAACGGGGAACAGCCCAGAGCCUGAAUCAGUUUGUAUGUCAGUGGAACGGUCUGGAAAGGCCGGCGAUACAGGGUGACAGCCCCGUACACGAAGGCACACAGGCUGUGAGCUCGAUGAGUAGGGCGGGACACGUGAUAUCCUGUCUGAAGAUGGGGGGACCAUCCUCCAAGGCUAAAUACUCCUGACUGACCGAUAGUGAACCAGUACCGUGAGGGAAAGGCGAAAAGAACCCCGGCGAGGGGAGUGAAACAGAACCUGAAACCGUGUACGUACAAGCAGUGGGAGCCUUCGUAAGAGGGUGACUGCGUACCUUUUGUAUAAUGGGUCAGCGACUUAUAUUCUGUAGCAAGGUUAACCGUAUAGGGGAGCCGAAGGGAAACCGAGUCUUAAUUGGGCGUUAAGUUGCAGGGUAUAGACCCGAAACCCGGUGAUCUAGCCAUGGGCAGGUUGAAGGUUGGGUAACACUAACUGGAGGACCGAACCGACUAAUGUUGAAAAAUUAGCGGAUGACCUGUGGCUGGGGGUGAAAGGCCAAUCAAACCGGGAGAUAGCUGGUUCUCCCCGAAAGCUAUUUAGGUAGCGCCUCGUGAACUCAUCUUCGGGGGUAGAGCACUGUUUCGGCUAGGGGGCCAUCCCGGCUUACCAACCCGAUGCAAACUACGAAUACCGAAGAAUGUUAUCACGGGAGACACACGGCGGGUGCUAACGUCCGUCGUGAAGAGGGAAACAACCCAGACCGCCAGCUAAGGUCCCAAAGUCAUGGUUAAGUGGGAAACGAUGUGGGAAGGCACAGACAGCCAGGAUGUUGGCUUAGAAGCAGCCAUCAUUUAAAGAAAGCGUAAUAGCUCACUGGUCGAGUCGGCCUGCGCGGAAGAUGUAACGGGGCUAAACCAUGCACCGAAGCUGCGGCAGCGACACUAUGUGUUGUUGGGUAGGGGAGCGUUCUGUAAGCCUGUGAAGGUGUGCUGUGAGGCAUGCUGGAGGUAUCAGAAGUGCGAAUGCUGACAUAAGUAACGAUAAAGCGGGUGAAAAGCCCGCUCGCCGGAAGACCAAGGGUUCCUGUCCAACGUUAAUCGGGGCAGGGUGAGUCGACCCCUAAGGCGAGGCCGAAAGGCGUAGUCGAUGGGAAACAGGUUAAUAUUCCUGUACUUGGUGUUACUGCGAAGGGGGGACGGAGAAGGCUAUGUUGGCCGGGCGACGGUUGUCCCGGUUUAAGCGUGUAGGUGUGUGUUCCAGGUAAAUCCGGUUCACUUUAACACUGAGGCGUGAUGACGAGGCACUACGGUGCUGAAGUAACAAAUGCCCUGCUUCCAGGAAAAGCCUCUAAGCAUCAGGUAACAUCAAAUCGUACCCCAAACCGACACAGGUGGUCAGGUAGAGAAUACCAAGGCGCUUGAGAGAACUCGGGUGAAGGAACUAGGCAAAAUGGUGCCGUAACUUCGGGAGAAGGCACGCUGACAUGUAGGUGAAGCCCCUGCGGGUGGAGCUGAAGUCAGUCGAAGAUACCAGCUGGCUGCAACUGUUUAUUAAAAACACAGCACUGUGCAAACACGAAAGUGGACGUAUACGGUGUGACGCCUGCCCGGUGCCGGAAGGUUAAUUGAUGGGGUUAUCGCAAGAGAAGCUCCUGAUCGAAGCCCCGGUAAACGGCGGCCGUAACUAUAACGGUCCUAAGGUAGCGAAAUUCCUUGUCGGGUAAGUUCCGACCUGCACGAAUGGCGUAAUGAUGGCCAGGCUGUCUCCACCCGAGACUCAGUGAAAUUGAACUCGCUGUGAAGAUGCAGUGUACCCGCGGCAAGACGGAAAGACCCCGUGAACCUUUACUACAGCUUGACACUGAACAUUGAGCCUUGAUGUGUAGGAUAGGUGGGAGGCUUUGAAGCGUGGACGCCAGUCUGCGUGGAGCCAACCUUGAAAUACCACCCUUUAAUGUUUGAUGUUCUAACCUGGCGCCAUAAUCUGGCGUGGGGACAGUGUCUGGUGGGUAGUUUGACUGGGGCGGUCUCCUCCCAAAGUGUAACGGAGGAGCACGAAGGUCAGCUAAUCCUGGUCGGACAUCAGGAGGUUAGUGCAAUGGCAUAAGCUGGCUUGACUGCGAGAGUGACGGCUCGAGCAGGUGCGAAAGCAGGUCAUAGUGAUCCGGUGGUUCUGUAUGGAAGGGCCAUCGCUCAACGGAUAAAAGGUACUCCGGGGAUAACAGGCUGAUACCGCCCAAGAGUUCAUAUCGACGGCGGUGUUUGGCACCUCGAUGUCGGCUCAUCACAUCCUGGGGCUGAAGUAGGUCCCAAGGGUAUGGCUGUUCGCCAUUUAAAGUGGUACGCGAGCUGGGUUUAGAACGUCGUGAGACAGUUCGGUCCCUAUCUGCCGUGGGCGCUGGAGAAUUGAGGGGGGCUGCUCCCAGUACGAGAGGACCGGAGUGGACGCAUCACUGGUGUUCGGGUUGUCAUGCCAAUGGCACUGCCCGGUAGCUAAAUGCGGAAGAGAUAAGUGCUGAAAGCAUCUAAGCACGAAACUUGCCCCGAGAUGAGUUCUCCCUGAGACUAUAAGUCUCCUGAAGGAACGUUGAAGACGACGACGUUGAUAGGCCGGGUGUGUAAGCGCAGCGAUGCGUUGAGCUAACCGGUACUAAUGAACCGUGAGGCUUAACCUUACAACGCCAAAGAAGU
rnacentral:rRNA from 1 species